rnacentral:rRNA from 1 species
CAGCCGCCACGGGAAUACGGAGGGUGCAAGCGUUAAUCGGAAUUACUGGGCGUAAAGCGCACGCAGGCGGUCUGACAAGUCAGAUGUGAAAUCCCCGGGCUUAACCUGGGAACUGCAUUUGAAACUGUCAGGCUGGAGUCUUGUAGAGGGGGGUGGAAUUCCAGGUGUAGCGGUGAAAUGCGUAGAGAUCUGGAGGAAUACCGGUGGCGAAGGCGGCCCCCUGGACAAAGACUGACGCUCAGGUGCGAAAGCGUGGGGAGCAAACAGGAUUAGAUACCCGUGUAGUCCCUGUCUCUUAUAA